GUACCUUCGGGGACACCCGAUAAAAUUGGAAUAAUACAGAAAAAAUUAGCAUGACUCCUGAUCAAGGAUGAUACUCACAAAUUGAGAUAUGAAACUACUCAUC